rnacentral:rRNA from 1 species
UACGAAGGGGGCUAGCGUUGUUCGGAUUUACUGGGCGUAAAGCGCACGUAGGCGGAUCGUUAAGUCGGGGGUGAAAUCCUGGAGCUCAACUCCAGAACUGCCUUCGAUACUGGCGAUCUUGAGUCCGGAAGAGGUGAGUGGAACUCCUAGUGUAGAGGUGGAAUUCGUAGAUAUUAGGAAGAACACCAGUGGCGAAGGCGGCUCACUGGUCCGGUACUGACGCUGAGGCGCGAGAGCGUGGGGAGCAAACCGG